rnacentral:rRNA from 1 species
UGCAAGUCGAACGAUGAACCUCCUUCGGGAGGGGAUUAGUGGCGAACGGGUGAGUAACACGUGGGCAAUCUGCCCUGCACUCUGGGACAAGCCCUGGAAACGGGGUCUAAUACCGGAUAUGACUCGGGAGGGCAUCCUUCCGGGUGGAAAGCUCCGGCGGUGCAGGAUGAGCCCGCGGCCUAUCAGCUUGUUGGUGGGGUGAUGGCCUACCAAGGCGACGACGGGUAGCCGGCCUGAGAGGGCGACCGGCCACACUGGGACUGAGACACGGCCCAGACUCCUACGGGAGGCAGCAGUGGGGAAUAUUGCACAAUGGGCGAAAGCCUGAUGCAGCGACGCCGCGUGAGGGAUGACGGCCUUCGGGUUGUAAACCUCUUUCAGCAGGGAAGAAGCGCAAGUGACGGUACCUGCAGAAGAAGCGCCGGCUAACUACGUGCCAGCAGCCGCGGUAAUACGUAGGGCGCAAGCGUUGUCCGGAAUUAUUGGGCGUAAAGAGCUCGUAGGCGGCUUGUCGCGUCGGAUGUGAAAGCUCGGGGCUUAACCCCGGGUCUGCAUUCGAUACGGGCAGGCUAGAGUGUGGUAGGGGAGAUCGGAAUUCCUGGUGUAGCGGUGAAAUGCGCAGAUAUCAGGAGGAACACCGGUGGCGAAGGCGGAUCUCUGGGCCAUUACUGACGCUGAGGAGCGAAAGCGUGGGGAGCGAACAGGAUUAGAUACCCUGGUAGUCCACGCCGUAAACGUUGGGAACUAGGUGUUGGCGACAUUCCACGUCGUCGGUGC